UUGUAUAGCUUAUUUAAAAGUAUUGUUUUGAAGAAACAAAGAAAUCAACAAU
rnacentral:tRNA from 1 species